GGUGCGGUAGCAAAGCGACCAUGCAGCGGAUUGCAAAUCCGCAGACACCGGUUUGAAUCCGGUCCGCACCU
rnacentral:tRNA from 3 species